rnacentral:rRNA from 1 species
CCCUUAGAUGUUCUGGGCUGCACGCGCGCUACACUGAAGCGUUCAACGAGUAUUCACCUUGCCCGGGAGGGUUGGGUAAUCUUUUCAAAACGCUUCGUGAUGGGGAUAGAUUAUUGCAAUUAUUAAUCUUCAACGAGGAAUUCCUAGUAAGCGCGAGUCAUCAGCUCGUGCUGAUUACGUCCCUGCCCUUUGUACACACCGCCCGUCGCACCUACCGAUUGAAUGGUCCGGUGAAAUCUUGGGAUCCUGUGAGACGGUCUUUAUUGUACUGUUUUGUGGGAGAACUUGAGUAAACCUUACCAUUUGGAGGAAGGUGAAGUCGUAACA